rnacentral:rRNA from 1 species
AGGGUUUGAUUAUGGCUCAGGAUGAACGCUGGCGGCGUGCUUAACACAUGCAAGUCGAACGGGAAACAUUUUAAUGAAGCUUCGGCAGAUUUAGCUUGUUUCUAGUGGCGGACGGGUGAGUAACGCGUGGGUAACCUGCCUCACACUGGGGGAUAACAGUCAGAAAUGACUGCUAAUACCGCAUAAGCGCACGGGAUUGCAUGAUCCAGUGUGAAAAACUCCGGUGGUGUGAGAUGGACCCGCGUUGGAUUAGCCAGUUGGCAGGGUAACGGCCUACCAAAGCGACGAUCCAUAGCCGGCCUGAGAGGGUGGACGGCCACAUUGGGACUGAGACACGGCCCAG